rnacentral:tRNA from 1 species
GGGGUUAGUGUUAAAUUGUUACUUUAACUGUAAGUUCCCCUAUAAAA